AUGUAUACGUUCUAAUCCUCCUUGCAAAUAUUAGGCUGAAAUUGGAUGUGAUUUGCUUAAUUUUAUUCUAUUUGCAACAACUGGCGAUUGGUAUGAGUACUUAUUGACAUAUCAGUCUAAGGUUUGAGCUUGUGAUGCAACUGUCAUUGUACUGAACAGUGUGGAACGAAAUCGUCACUUUGAGCGUGCAUGUACUUGAGUGUUUGGUAGAUUUCUUCUAUCUGGUAGUACUGAUCAAGAAGGUGUUGACUUGUACAUUCAGUUCACAUGGCCGAGAUAUGCACUUGUUUAACUUCACACUUGUUAUUUACAGUCCAGGAUCUGCUAAACCUUGCAAGUACAGGAGGAUGAGUGCUCUCUCUCCUACAGGUCAAAGAGGCCUCCAGGCUGAGACCUUGCUAGGUUACUUGCGUGAGCAACGAGAAGGGGGCAGCUCCAGAGCUGGACCAGGCGGCGCAGCUACGAGCAUGGCUCGGUAACACGCUGGUCAUGCGACAAAGCUACGAGCUUGGCUAGGCAAUGCAGCACUGAUAUGGUGAAAUACAGAAAGCACCUCUUCCAGCUGUAGCACCUGCUGGCUCAACAUUGCUUGAAAUGGCAUGUGAGUUAAUUCUCUGAUGCUGAACUUGAUGGUUUGCACUAGCAGGUAAACACAAAUUCAUCGUUGCAGUAUUUGUUCCCACUUUGUAAUGAUGUCUACAUUUGAUAGAACUUUUUUGUCAUAUGAAGGUUUUGGAGACACAAACAAUAUAUUUUGCUUUAAACAGACA